GUCACGCGCCUCCGUCACGUGCGGGAGGACGGAGGGGGGCGGGGGCAAGCGUUUCGCCGCCGCGCGAGGAAACGAGAGCGGCGCGGGGCGGGGGCAGCGCGCAGCGGCUCAUCCGGGCACCUGCUCUCUGCGGCGCAGGCGCGGUAGCGCGCGGCGGGGCCGGCGGAGCGGGGCGCAGGGCGCAGGGAAGGGCACCGGCAGGGCUAAGACUCGGCCCGGUUUGGCUGGCGGUGGCGGUCUCUGCAGUGCCGGUCCCGCGAGGACCGCGCCGCCUUCUUCGGGAGCGGCCGGACACCGCCGCUACACCGCCGCCGGGGGGGGGUGUUGCGCAUGCGCGGGGCCCGGCCGCUCGGCGGCGACGAGGCCUCGUUGCGGCCUGUGAGCGCGGCCGCGGGCGUUGGGAGGCCGCUGCGCUCCGUGCCGCGCUGCUCGCUGCCGAGAAGCCGGUGGGGGAGCCGGGAGGGGCUUUUCCGCGGUUCCUAGGCCUGUGCCUGGCUCCCGGUUGUGCUGCCUCUGUGCGUCCAGGGUUUCCCUAACACCCCCCCCCCCGCCCCCUACAGAUGGCAUGGAGCAAAGGUCAGCAGUGCGUGUGCUCGGCCAGACCUGUGGCCUCCCCCUGCUUCUCUGUGGCCCUGUGUUAUUGCAGCUGCAGCUCCUUGGACAUAAGGAGUGUGAUUCUCCUGGCUUACUGUUAUAGGCUGUAGGUGCAGCAGGAGUCCUAAGAUGGCAGCUGUCAGCUGAAAGCAUAAACUUUGUGAAAGUCUUCCUCUUUGGGACAAGGCUGAGCUGUUUGUUCAUGAGGGAAUGACUUCAAAUUUCCAAUCUGAACACUAGCUGCUGUGAGAGACAGCAUGGCACUUGGGAUUGUGUGCAUAUGAUAGAUAUUCUGGUUUGCAUCUUUAUUUUUGGCAGUGUUGAACACAAAUACUUUCAAGUUGUUUAACUGAUGAUUAAAACCACGCAAAAUUCAGUACCAAACUGUCUAGGAGGUCAAAAGGAAUACCACAUGCUGUUGCUCUUUGGGAGGAGUCUGUCCCAGCUUGUGCUUAAUGAUAUGCAUAAUCUGGAAGUUUCUGUAGUAUGUAAAAGAUGCCAAAAUACAUUCACAACUUCUUUUCAUGUUCUCAAAGAAAGGAAGAUGCUGUGAGAUGUGCUGGGACACUGACUCCACCAAAGGAUCAUGUGAAAAACUACUACUGAGUUGUCAAGUGGUGGACUGUAUAAGCUUUCUACUGUUUUUACAGUAAAGUGUUCUUUAAACCAAUGUGAGAAGAACAGUAGCUGAAAAAUGCCAGGAUAGAAUUAAGUCUGCAUAUUUUUAAAAGUGAGGGUAAUCUUUCAAAGUGUUUUGGCAAUUUCUUCAUUUUAAUGGGUAUCUCAGUAUUCAAAGUGAUUAUUUGUCCUAAAAGAGUUGUGCUUUAACUACAGCAUCUCUUAGAUUAGAAGCUGAAAUUUAAUAUAGGAAGUCUUCUGGCUGACAUGAGCAUUUUUUAGAGUGAGCUCAACAGAGAAUCCUUGUCAGUGAUAUAUUUAUUUUGAGUAAUCAUGUCCAAUUGAGGUUGGGAAAUCAUUUAGUAGGAACCUACAACUAGAUUGGCUGACUUUUCAUCCUAUAAUUGUAGGUAGGCAUGUAAUAGGUAGUCGGCUUAGAAAGUGCAACAAAGUAUCCAUUCUGCUCACUGUAACUAAGAAAAUGCUAAGAAUAGAAGAGUAUCUAUCAGUGAAAAGAAUCUAAUUGGUCCUACAACAGGAGAGGAAGAGGGGAGGAAAAGCUUAGUGAUCCCUUCAGGCCUGCCCCAGAAAAAACGUCUUGAUGGAGAUCUGGUGACUAAUUCAACCUUGAGGCUGUGAGCCAGACAAAUUAAGCAUGUGCCCCAAAGUUUUCUCAGUGUUACCAGGAGGAUCAGUGUCUCCUGCUGACAUCCUGUCCUACAGUGUGCAGUGCGUCCCAGGAAGGUGGCGUGACUUGGAUGCUGUUUGGGUUUCUUUAUGUGCUAAGGGGGAAAUAUAUCUUCUGUGUUCUAUGAUGCUGGGUUUAGGUCCUCAGAGAAUAUCCUGACAGAAGAUAAAAGACGUUUUUGUACUGUGGUGAUAAUUAAAAUACAAAAAUUAUUGGAUGCUGUUUGUAGAUAAGAUGAAGCCUAAGAGAAAUGACGAAGAUAAAAACAGUAGAAUCUUUCAGUAUUUUAAUUAAUUUUCUGGAAAUAUAUAAAAAAAGCAUUCGCUGAUGAGAGUUUGUGGACAAUUCAGUGAUUGUUGAAAAGGAACAAGAAAUACAUAGGCCGUAUCUUCAGGAAUGAAGUGACAGAAGAGGAUUGAGGAAGCAUGUAAUGUGCAGAUAUCUUCAAAGGCAACUAAGUAGCAAAAGAAGAAAAUGUCCCUGAUUGUAUAGACAGAGGAGCAAGAAUAAGGAAGUUACUUUACUUCUAUAAAGGGUAUUGGUGAGAAUAAAUACUGAAAUACUGUAUAUGGUUCUUGAGUCUGGAGUUUUCUGCAGUCUGCCAAUUUCUAAGAAGAGCCACCAGUGUUAUUCAAUGGCUAGAGAAAAUGUCUUUCAGUGAAAGACUAAAGUAUCAAAUCUGAUUAGCUGGUAGGAGGACAUUGAGAGGUGACUUGAUUAUAACAUAUAUAUACUUUGAGAGGGAAAUAGUAUGAAGUACUUAAAACAUGAAAGCAUAAUAAGGCCCAGUGACUGAAAGCUAAAGCAACACAGCAUAAUUUUAGAAAAUGCCAUAGAGAUGUUUGUUUAACAGGAGAAAGAAAAGGCAAGUCAGUUAGUUCUUAUCUUAGUGAAACCUACUUGCCAUUAACAUUGAGGCUCUCAGCUAGGUUUUCUAAUAGGAAGCUGUUGGAUAAAUGUUAUAUUUACUUUGGGAACAGCUAGGGAAAAUUAUUGUAACUAGAGACUUCCUUGCAAUGCCUAUGCUGUCUGUUAGGUAGCAAUUAGUGUGGUGGUAGCAUAGAUAGUCUGUAAAGAAUGGCAUCAGACAUUUGGGGAAAUUUUGUUGGGAAGAUAAUGUUUUUAUUAACCAGCUGAUGUAUAGUUUGAUAGGCUUUUGGGCUUAUAGCAAAGGGUCUGUCUUUUAUACAUAGUAAUUUAUAGCUGGAAGAGACAUUGUUGCUUCCUGCAACUGUGGUUUCAUUGUCCAGUAGGUGGUAGCAGUGCUGCGUAAAAUGUCUGUAUCGUUAAAUGUAUUUGAAUAGCAACACAAUAAACUAUUUUGGAAGACCAGAA